UACGUAGGCAGCGAGCGUUGUUCGGAGUUACUGGGCGUAAAGGGUGCGUAGGCGGUUGUUUAAGUUUGGUGUGAAAUCUCCCGGCUCAACUGGGAGGGUGCGCCGAAUACUGAAUGACUAGAGUGCGGGAGAGGAGAGUGGAAUUCCUGGUGUAGCGGUGAAAUGCGCAGAUAUCAGGAAGAACACCUGUGGCGAAAGCGGCUCACUGGACCAUUACUGACGCUGAGGCACGAAAGCUAGGGGAGCAAACAGG
rnacentral:rRNA from 1 species